rnacentral:rRNA from 1 species
AUGAUUGAUGAUCUCAUAGAAAAGAUUGUGAAGGAUAAGAGCACUGAUGAUGACUUUAUUCGGAUGACAUUUCUAGUUCUCUUAGGAACUAUAAUUGCACCAGUGUCUCAUGAAUACGUUCCGAAAAAGUACUAUGCCUUAGUGCAAAAUAUUAAGUUGAUAAGGAAGUUCAACUGGAAUGCAUUCACUUCACGAUUCUGUUUAUCGGAGAUUGGUAAGCUUCUGCAGGACGGCCAUGUUAGGCAGUGGCCCCAGGGGAAUCUCGCCCUUUUGCACUACCUAUACUGGGAGAAGGUGCAACCAAUCACCGGUCCAAAAUAUGAUCCGUUGGCAUUGUUGAGCCCGCUGAUGAGGAACUGGACGGAAGAUAUGGCUGUGAGAAGAGACAAAUACGACUACGAAUAUGGUCGUGGUGUUGGGAUGAUCGAUGACAACAUUACAGAGGAGUAUAGGUUGAAAAAAAUUGCGGAAGAAGAAGCUCAAAAAACCAAGAAAACUAGUAGCAAGAAGGAAAUGCUUCGUUUGCCAGAGUUAUGCGCACAGGUAACACUUGAGCACGUCUCUUUAAUGUCCAUCACUGAAUUGAAGAACUAA